UACGGAGGGUGCGAGCGUUGUCCGGAAUCACUGGGCGUAAAGGGCGCGUAGGCGGCCUGAUAAGUAGGGGGUGAAAUCCUGCGGCUUAACCGCAGGGCUGCCUUCUAAACUGUCAGGCUCAGCACAGGUAGAGGCAGGUGGAAUUCCCGGUGUAGCGGUGGAAUGCGUAGAGAUCGGGAAGAACUCAGUGGCGAAGGCGGC
rnacentral:rRNA from 1 species